GAACGCAAAGAGCCAGUUUACAUGGAACAGGCCUAAAGGUGAAACGCAAAGAGCCAGUUUACAUGGAACAAGCGUAAAGGUUAAACAUAAACAGCCAGUUUACAUGGAACAGGCCUAAAGGUAAAAUGCAAACAGCCAGUUUACAUGGAGUCGGC